rnacentral:rRNA from 1 species
UACAGAGGGGGCAAGCGUUAUUCGGAAUUAUUGGGCGUAAAGGGCGCGUAGGCGGCCAUGCGUGUCUUCCGUGAAAUCCCUCGGCUUAACCGAGGACGUGCGGAAGAAACUGCAAGGCUCGAGUCCGGAAGAGGGGGGCGGAAUUCCCAGUGUAGCGGUGAAAUGCGUAGAUAUUGGGAGGAACACCAGUGGCGAAGGCGGUCCCCUGGGCCGGAACUGACGCUGAGGCGCGAAAGCGUGGGUAGCAAACAGG